rnacentral:rRNA from 1 species
GAUGAACGCUAGCUACAGGCUUAACACAUGCAAGUCGAGGGACCGGCGCACGGGUGAGUAACACGUAUCCAACCUGCCCUUUACUCGGGGAUAGCCUUUCGAAAGAAAGAUUAAUACCCGAUAUAAAGGAUGGGGAUGCGUUCCAUUAGGUUGUUGGUGAGGUAACGGCCCACCAAGCCUUCGAUGGAUAGGGGUUCUGAGAGGAAGGUCCCCCAACAUGGAACUGAGACACCGUCCAAAACCCUACGGGAGAGAGGAGGGAGGAAUAUUGGUCAAUGGGCGGUAGCCUUAACCAGCCAAGUAGCGUGAAGGAUGAAGGCUUAUGGGUUGUUAACUUCUUUUAUAUAAGAAUAUGUAUUAUAUGAAUAAGGAUCGGCUAACUCCGUGCCAGCAGCCGCGGUAAUAC